GGUCUUUAGAAUCCCUCCUGGACCGUCAGGUGAGGAGUAUUUUUAUUGAAGAACAUCUGAGAGAAGCUUGUAGAAAGCUUUAAAGGAGGAACUCAAAGCAGCUUCAGUGUUUGUUUCUGUCCAGUUCAGGUUCUAGGUUCAGGAUCUAGGUUCAGGUCUCAGGUUCAGGACCUAGGUUCAGAAUUGAGGUUCAGGUCUCAGGUCUCAGGUUCAGGAUCUAGGUUCAGGUCUCAGGUUCAGGAUCUAGUUUCAGAAUGUAGGUUCAGGAUCUAGGUUCAGGUCUCAGGAUCUAGGUUCAGCAUCUAGGUUCAGAAUCUGGGUUCAGGAUCUAGGUUCAGGUCUCAGGUUCAGAAUCUGGGUUCAGGUCUCCUGAGGACCCCGUUGAGUUCAGUCUGAGGGUUCAGGAAAGCGUCACUCUGUGAUGAAGUGGACGAAGGUCACGGGGAAUGCUCCUCUCCGGGUCGGAU